CCAAUAGCGUAUAUUAAAGUUGUUGCAGUUAAAAAGCUCGUAGUUGAACUUCGGGGUCUACCCAUUGGUCAGGCUUAAUUGUCUGCACUGGUGAGAUGGAUCUCUACCUUCUGAGGAACUUUCAUGCCAUUUAUUUAGUGUGAUGGGAAAUCAGGACUGUUACUUUGAAAAAAUUAGAGUGUUUAAAGCAGACUAUCGUCUGAAUACAUUAGCAUGGAAUAAUGAAAUAGGACGGACUGAUUCUAUUUCGUUGGUUUCUAGGAUCACCGUAAUGAUUAAUAGGGAUAGUUGGGGGCAUUGGUAUUCAAUUGUCAGAGGUGAAAUUCUUGGAUUUAUUGAAGACUAACUACUGCGAAAGCAUUUGCCAAGGAUGUUUUCAUUAAUCAAGAACGAAAGUUAGGGGAUCGAAGACGAUCAGAUACCGUCGUAGUCUUAACCAUAAACUAUGCCGACUAGGGAUCGGACGAAGUUAAUCUUAUAAUGACGCGUUCGGCACCUUACG
rnacentral:rRNA from 1 species